rnacentral:rRNA from 1 species
AUGGCGAUGGUGCGCAUGUCCUUCCUCCUCCUGAUCCCCUUCCUCUCCGCCGGAAUCAUCCUUCCACUUCCACUUCUACCCGUCGCUGCCGCCGCUGACGCCGACGACGGCGAGCAGUUCGUCUACACCGGCUUCACCGGCUCGAGCCUCGCCCUCGACGGCGCCGCCACCAUCACGGCGGGCGGCCUCGUGGAGCUGACCAACGCCACCACCCACCAGAAGGGCCACGCGUUCCACCCGGCCCCCCUGCGCCUCCGCGGGUCCCCGGACGGCACGGUGCGGUCCUUCUCGGUCGCCUUCGUCUGCGGCAUCGUCUCCAGCUACACGGACUUCAGCACCCACGGCAUGGCCCUCGUCUUCGCGCCCGGCGUCAAGAGCCUGUCGGACGGGCUGACGGACCAGUACCUCGGCGUCACCAACGUCCAGAACGACGGCAGCCAGGCCAACCACCUGUUCGCCGUGGAGCUCGACACCGUGCAGAACAUCGAGUUCCGCGACAUCAACGCCAACCACGUCGGCAUCGACAUCAACGGCCUCAGCUCUGUCCAGUCCCACGAGGCUGGCUACUACGACGACGGUAACGGCGGCGGCUUCCGGAAUGUAAGCCUCAUCAGCCGCGAUGCGCUCCAAGUGUGGGUGGACUACGACAGGGUGACCACCCGGAUUGAUGUCACCAUGGCUCCCCUUGGGAUGGCGAGACCCAGCAGGCCAUUGGUCAGCGCGAUCCGCAACCUGUCGACGGUGCUGACGGAGCCGUCGUACAUCGGCUUCUCGUCGUCGACGGGCCCGGUGAACUCCCGGCACUACGUUCUUGGCUGGAGCCUGGGCAUAGACAGACCUGCCCCGGCGAUCGACGCGGCCAAGCUGCCAAAGCUGCCGCAGCUGGGACCCAAGCCUCGCUCAAGGGUUCUGGAGAUAACCCUGCCGAUAGCAAGCGCGGUGGUCGUCCUCGUCGCCGGCGCCGCCUUGGUUCUGCUUGUGAGAAGGCGCCUGAGGUACACGGAGGUGCGGGAAGAUUGGGAGGUGGAGUUCGGGCCGCACCGGUUCGCGUACAAAGACCUGUUCCAUGCCACCAAUGGGUUCAAGGAGAAGCACCUGCUUGGCGCAGGAGGCUUCGGCAUGGUGUACAAGGGAGUGCUUCAGGCGUCCGGGGUGGAGAUCGCUGUGAAGAAGGUGUCCCAUGGAUCCAAGCAAGGAAUGAAGGAGUUCAUCGCCGAGAUCGUAAGUAUUGGCCGCAUCAAGCACCGUAACCUGGUGCAGCUACUUGGCUAUUGCCGGCGGAAAGAUGAGCUCAUCCUGGUGUACGAUUACAUGCCGAACCGUAGCCUGGACAAGUAUCUGUACGGCCAAGGAGAUGGAGAUGGUCUCACUUUGGACUGGGCUCAAAGAUUGCAAGUCAUCAAAGGGGUCGCUUGUGGAUUACACUACCUGCACGAGAGGUGGGAGAAAGUCGUCAUCCACCGAGACGUCAAGACAAGCAAUGUGCUUCUUGACAAGGAAAUGAAUGGACGGCUAGGCGAUUUUGGGCUUGCAAAGCUGUACGAGCAUGGCACCAACCCACAAACAACACGUGUGGUUGGAACCACGGGGUACCUAGCACCGGAGCUAGUGAGAACGGGGAAAGCCACCCCUCUGACAGACGCUUUCGCCUUCGGAACUUUCAUGCUCGAGGUCGCUUGCGGACGACGACCAAUCAAGCAAGACGAGAAAGGCAACCAAAUCUUGUUGGCGGAUUGGGUACUCGAGCACUUGCAUAGAGAGUCACUCGUCGAGGCAGCAGAUCCAAGGCUGCAACACGAGUACAACUCCGAUGAGGUGUGCCUAAGUCUCAAGAUUGGACUACUCUGCUCACACCCGUCUCCCUCUGCAAGGCCCACGAUGCAUCAAGUUUUGCAGUAUCUUGAUGGAGAAUUGCCACUCCCGGAGAUGGCACGCGCAACCUUGAACUUCAAUUUGUUAGCUCUUAAGGAAAGAAAGGAGUUGCAUUCCGUGUCAAGCCCAUUCUCAUCGACAGCGAUGACCGUUGGCACCAUAUCUGACCUUUCUGGCGGAAGAUGA